ensembl:lncRNA PSMB8-AS1 PSMB8 antisense RNA 1 (head to head)
GAGAAAAGGACAGUUAGUGCCUGGACCAGGACCAUCACACUGGGGACCGGCUUCUCUGCUCUCCCGUUAUGGGGGUCGGGGGAAUGAUGGGUCAAGGGUCUUCCGAAGAAAGCGAGAAAGGAACAGGCGCCUUCAAAAGCCCACUUGGCGAUGGGUUACAGUAAGAGGGCCCCUCCAGGUUCAACGGUCUCCUAACCUGUAGUCACCCACAAGAGCGUGCCCUUUCUGCCCGCCCUUCCUAGCGUUGCUCCCUGCUUGGCUGAGCACUGCGGAGUUUCACGCCUCUAAACCCCGCCUCUUCUUGCAACCUGUGUUGGCCUCAUCUACCCAGCAACUGUCGACGUCACACGACCUGGGCCUCCCUGAAUGGGAGAUAUUUACUAGGCAAUCCCGCCUACUGUUCUGAGGUUUCCCCUCCAGGUGCAGCUUCAGAGCCAGGCGAGCCAGGAAGGACCAGCGGGCGAGGUGUUUCAGAGUGCUGGCCACACCAAAGCAUCAGCCCUGGCUCUAAACUCCGUUACAGUAAGGAAUUACAAAUCCUGUGUUUGUACUCCAGGAAGUCUGCAUUAUCACGAGGAGCUUGGAAAGGAGGUAACACACUCAAGGCAAAUUUCAAGUAACUCAUCCUGGAGGCAGCUGCCUACUCUGCAGCUGUGGUUCUCCACCACAGAGAGAAGAAAAGGGAGGGAGAUGGAGUGCGCAGGUCUGAGAAGGCUUUCAUUCUGGAGCAUCUGCAGGAGCCUGCACCAUGGCCCAGUAGCACCCCUUUUUCUCCAUGAGCUGCUGGUGGGUUCCCCCCUCCCGGAUAGCGCCUCCUUCCAGAAAGAGGAUGUGGUCAGCCUGCUCCACCAGGCUGAGGUGCUGGGUGAUGAGAAGCACUGAGCGGGAGUACCGCUCAGGGCUUUCGUACAGGAGCUGCUCCACCUGAGGAAAGACAUCGGACCGUCAGAGCCGGGGA